rnacentral:rRNA from 1 species
UGACCUGCGGAAGGAUCAUUACUGAGUGAGGGCCCUCUGGGUCCAACCUCCCACCCGUGUUUAUUGUACCUUGUUGCUUCGGUGCGCCCGCCUCACGGCCGCCGGGGGGCUUCUGCCCCCGGGUCCGCGCGCACCGGAGACACUAUUGAACUCUGUCUGAAGAUUGCAGUCUGAGCAUAAACUAAAUAAGUUAAAACUUUCAACAACGGAUCUCUUGGUUCCGGCAUCGAUGAAGAACGCAGCGAAAUGCGAUAACUAAUGUGAAUUGCAGAAUUCAGUGAAUCAUCGAGUCUUUGAACGCACAUUGCGCCCCCUGGUAUUCCGGGGGGCAUGCCUGUCCGAGCGUCAUUGCUGCCCUCAAGCACGGCUUGUGUGUUGGGCUCCGUCCCCCCGGGGACGGGUCCGAAAGGCAGCGGCGGCACCGAGUCCGGUCCUCGAGCGUAUGGGGCUUUGUCACCCGCUCUGUAGGCCCGGCCGGCGCCAGCCGACAACCAAUCAUCCUUUUUUCAGGUUGACCUCGGAUCAGGUAGGGAUACCCGCUGAACUUAAGCAUAUCAAUAAGCGGAGGAAAAGAAACCAACAGGGAUUACCUCAGUAACGGCGAGUGAAGCGGUAAGAGCUCAAAUUUGAAAGCUGGCUCCUUCGGGGUCCGCAUUGUAAUUUGCAGAGGAUGUUUCGGGAGCAGCCCCCAUCUAAGUGUCCUGGAACGGACCGUCAUAGAGGGUGA